rnacentral:rRNA from 1 species
UACGUAGGGGGCAAGCGUUGUCCGGAAUCAUUGGGCGUAAAGCGCACGUAGGCGGCGAUUCAAGUCAGAGGUGAAAGCCCGGGGCUCAACCCCGGAACUGCCUUUGAAACUAGAUUGCUAGAAUCCUGGAGAGGUGAGUGGAAUUCCGAGUGUAGAGGUGAAAUUCGUAGAUAUUCGGAAGAACACCAGUGGCGAAGGCGACUCACUGGACAGGUAUUGACGCUGAGGUGCGAAAGCGUGGGGAGCAAACAGG